rnacentral:lncRNA from 1 species
GCCACCCCAUAACCGUUCGGUCUGGACCUAUCACUGGCUUAGGUGUUCUUUGACAUGGCUUCCUCUCAGCCCGAGAAGCCUUCGACCUGUAUGACCGUUCGGUCUGCAGGGUCUCGGUCAGAGAAGAGCUAGCUCUUCCCUUGACCGUUCGGUCUGGCAAGAGUGCUUGGUAGUGGCACCCAAUUCAAUCCCAGUGGUUCGGCCACUACUUCUAGUGUCCGGUUUAUUNCUU